rnacentral:rRNA from 1 species
UACGUAGGGGGCUAGCGUUGUUCGGAAUCACUGGGCGUAAAGGGCGUGUAGGCGGCUGAAUAAGUGGGAUGUUAAAUCCCCCGGCUCAACCGGGGACCUGCAUCUCAUACUGUUCAGCUCGAGCACAUCAGAGGAGACUGGAAUUCCCGGUGUAGCGGUGAAAUGCGUAGAUAUCGUAAGGAAGACCAGUGGCGAAGGCGGGUCUCUGGACAGUUCCUGACGCUGAGGCGCGAAGGCCAGGGGAGCAAACGGG